UACAGAGGUCUCAAGCGUUGUUCGGAUUCAUUGGGCGUAAAGGGUGCGUAGGCGGCGCGGUAAGUCGGGUGUGAAAUCUCGGAGCUUAACUCCGAAACUGCAUUCGAUACUGCGGUGCUUGAGGACUGGAGAGGAGAUUGGAAUUCACGGUGUAGCAGUGAAAUGCGUAGAUAUCGUGAGGAAGACCAGUGGCGAAGGCGGAUCUCUGGACAGUUCCUGACGCUGAGGCGCGAAGGCCAGGGGAGCAAACGGG
rnacentral:rRNA from 1 species